rnacentral:rRNA from 1 species
AAGGGCACCACAAGAACGCGUGGAGCAUGUGGCUUAAUUUGACUCAACACGGGAAACCUUACCGGGUCCGGACACACUGAGGAUUGACAGGUAACAACAACUCAGAGAUGAGUAUAAAUAUGCUAGUCCUUUCAUGAUUAUGUGAUAGGUGGUGCAUGGCCGUUCUUAGUUCGUGGAGUGAUCUGUCUGCUUAAUUGCGUUUCACAAAAGGGCUUAUAAUAUUAAACAUUACACAUUCAUUGCACUCACGUGCAUAGUGUAUUGUGAAAUUUAAGUCCUUGAAAGCAACGAACGUGACCGUAACCUCUUGUUGCCAAUAAUUUAUAUUCGCAUUAUGUGUUAUAUAUACGUUGGCUUUUUAAACUAGAGGGACCGCUGUUACUUUCUUAAACCAGAGGAGGGUUGCGGCAAUAACAGGUCUGUGAUGCCCUUAGAUGUUCCGGGCUGCACACGUGCUACAAUGAUUAUUGCAGUGAGCAUCUCAUAAUUGAUUUUCAUAUCUACACACCGCAUGCGCGUUUACAUAUUAUUUGUACUCACGUACAAUUUAUGUAAUCUGCGCGCGGUAAAGCCUACUUCGAAAGCUUAGUGGGUAAUCAAUUACAAGUAAUGAUUUCCUAUAUUUAUUUAUUUCGCACACCAAUAUGCAUUUUAUUUAUACCCGUGUAUUGCUUUAAUCUCACGAUUAACUUUACGCGUUGCGUGUACUAUAAUAAUGUCAUGUGCAAUUGUCAAUUCAUGGUGGGGACAGACCAUUGUUAAUUGUUGGUCUCGGUCUUAACUAGGAAUGCCUUGUACGGGUCUUUGGUUCAACAAACCACCCGGAAUACGUCCCUGCCCUUUGUACACACCGCCCGUCGCUCUUACCAAUGGAAUGUACUGUGAGUUUGAGGGACGAGCUCUUAUAUCAUGCAAUUUUAUUGUAUGCUGGGCACGAAACUUAAACGAACAGUAUGGUCUAAAGGAAAGAGAAGUCGUAACAAGGCA